rnacentral:lncRNA from 1 species
CUUCACUUAAUGGAAUCUGGGAGUUGUAAAACGCCUUCACGUUUCUCAAAAUGUGUCCUCCUCAUAGAGACAAGGCAGAGAUCAAGUGCAUGGGCUCUGUUGGUGGAAAACACCAACAGAACCAAAAGUGUAUUUGUUCUUUUCUAACCUUAAGCAUAGUGAGCAAGACAAAGUUGAUGGAUCAUGAGUGUAGCAUUUAAAACAUUUGUU